rfam:Medicago truncatula strain A17 chromosome 8, whole genome shotgun sequence.
UUUUUGGUUUCGUUUUGGUCCCUUAACUUAUUUUUUGGUUUCGUUUUGGUCCCUUAACUUAUUUUUUGGUUUCAUUUUGGUCCCUUAACUCUAAUACAUUCAUCCUAACAUAAAGGACCAAAGUGGUUGACGGAGGAAGAGUUAAGGGACCAAAACGAAACCAAAAAAUAAGUUAAGGGACCAAAAUGAAACUUUUAGUAGUUAAGGGACCAAAACGAAACCAAAAAGUAAGUUAAGGGACCAAAACGAAACCAAAAAGUAAGUUAAGGGACCAAAACGAAACUUUUAAUAGUUAAGGGA